UACAGAGGGUGCGAGCGUUGUCCGGAAUCACUGGGCGUAAAGGGCGCGUAGGCGGCUUUUCACGCGUGCGGUGAAAGCUCGGGGCUUAACUCCGAGUCUGCCGUGCGAACGGGGAGGCUUGAGUCUGGUAGAGGUCGAUGGAAUUCCGGGUGUAGCGGUGGAAUGCGUAGAGAUCCGGAAGAAUACCGGUGGCGAAGGCGGCCUGCUGGGCAUGACCUGACGCUGAGGAGCGAAAGUGUGGGGAGCGAACAGG
rnacentral:rRNA from 1 species